CAAACCAAAGCUGGCGACCGGCGCACGGGUGAGUAACACGUAUCCAACCUGCCUCAUACUCGGGGAUAGCCUUUCGAAAGAAAGAUUAAUAUCCGAUAGCAUAUAUUUCCCGCAUGGGUUUUAUAUUAAAGAAAUUCGGUAUGAGAUGGGGAUGCGUUCCAUUAGUUUGUUGGGGGGGUAACGGCCCACCAGCACGAUGGAUAGGGGUUCUGAGAGGAAGGUCCCCCACAUUGGAACUGAGACACGGUCCAA
rnacentral:rRNA from 1 species